GUGAGGGGGAAGAAGGAGAGGAGAGAGAAGAAUGCAUUUUUCCCCACAUUCUAGUAUUGUGCAACUAUACUAGGUGUGGUUGAUAUCCACAUGUUGAAUAGGAAAUAGUGUUUAGUUUCCCUGACAUAACUUGGUAGUUUAUUUCCAAUUUUUAAUAAGACAUUUCUAGAACAAUCAAGAGGACCAAAUUAGAAUAUAUGAAAGUGACAUUGUCAAGGUAAACACAGCCCUUAAAAUCAUCCACCACUUGGAAUUUAUUAGCCUCAUUCUUAUUCCCUCCCCCUACCAUAGGCCAGACAGCCAUAAUGGCAGUAGAUGGAGAACGGGCUGUAUGUGUCUUCCUUGUCAUAGCUUAACCUUGUGGACAAUAUGAACCAAGUUAGACAAUUUAAGAAGAAUGGAGGCACCUUGGUGUGCUCUGUUUCUCUCUGCGUUCCUAGGCCUGGUAGACAGGCUCUAUUUGUUUGAGAACCAAUGUCUCUUCAGAGUCUUACAAGAUAAAUGAACAAAAUGUUUGAGUAGAUAAAUGCAGAGCAAGCCAAGAUGACGAAUACUGAACAUAAGAGCCAAGCAAAUGUUAGAAUCUUAAUUUACAGGAUCUACAUUAUACCAUCACUACUUAGUAACCGUCCCUGGUGGGUGCUACGUACCCGUUGCUAUUAAAACAUUUACACAACCAAUCUAGAAAACUGACUCUCAGGCCCUCGUGAAGAUCCCUAAUCCACAGAGGGCCCAGGUUUCUUCCUUCCAGUGUCAGGACCUGAUGCUCAAGUCUGAGGAUCAGCUGGAUGACAGAAGGGUGUUUCAGAACUCCUGGGAACCAGAACAGAGAUCUUAAGUGACAGAAGAUUUCAGAAAGAACAGCUCUCCUCCGCUGCAUUGGGUGAUGCCAUUUUUCCCAGUCCUAAGCUAGGGGUGGUUUGCUGAGACCGAAAACUCCAUCAGAGGAAGACAUGUCCGCUAACUGCGGCUAAGUAUGAAUUCCUACCGGGAUUAGAAUUCGCACACCCUGACUUCCUAACUGAGACUCUCUUGGAGAACUGGGCCAAACUGGAACUUUAGAAACCUUGGUAGAAAACAGGAGUCUUGGCUUCUAGAAGACAGGAGGGACCAGAAGGGUCUGAAAGGCCCCUGCAUCAAAACCCUAAACUUCUGGUUGUCUUGGUUGAUGCGAUCCUUGAACAGGACUUCCUCAGAAGUGCCCCAGCAAAGCCAGCCUGAUCCAGCACCUCCAGGUGUGAGCAGAGCAGCCUCAGGAAUUCCCAGGUCCAGAUACUUCUAAGAAGAGGCACAGAGAGUUGUUAGAGAAUCCCUUGGUAUGGUAUUUUGCCCAGCGUCAACUGUCAACUUGACAUAGUCAAGAGCCAAUUGCUAAGAGAGUCUCAAAUGAGUGUCCUUUUCAGGUCAGUCUGUGGGUAUGGAUGUAAGAGACUGCCUUGAUUACUAGGUGAUGUUGGGUGUGCCCACUGCAGGAGGCACUAUUACCUGGGCUGUAUAAGAAAGCUAGCUAAGCGUAAGCCUGUGAGUGAGUCAGCAUCUAACAUUCACCUUUGCUUUCUGCUCCUUUCCUGCCCUUGACUUCCCUCGAUGAUGGACAGCAAUCUGGAAGCUGAAAUAAGCCCUUUCCUUCUUAAAGGGGGUUUUGGUCACGAUAUUUGUGGCAGCAACUGAAUCAAACUGGAAUAUUUGGAAUCUACGCCUUUUGAUGGGACUAUAAACAUCUUUUCACAGCUUCUGAACUACAUCCCAUAAUAUACAUGACCGCAUCCAUCACAGACAGCCAAGAGGCUGCUUCUGGGAUUUUUUUCCAUCCAGUAAUAUCUCUCUGGGUAAGAUGAUACACACGUCACUCACUUCAGGCCAGGGACAGGUGUGUUGUCUUUUGAUUUUUCUGCACACCGGUCUUCACCACCAUGUCUCAUGCCCAGCCUGCAUCAAGAGAUGGCUUGCCCCGAGCCAAUAUGAUUACAGAGGAAAAACAACAAAACCCUCUGACAUGGCUGGCUUUGAUGGGUCUAGUGUUAUUUGCUGCCCCCUUGUGGUCAGACUGGAUUCCCUCAUUCGCCUCUCCAGGACGUAUAGCAGGUUUCUGAAGAGAAAGCUUGGCAGAGUUUUGUUAGGAGGAACAGAGAGAAAGGUUGAAACUGGCGAGAGUUUUAAAUAAGAAAAGACUAAUGAAAUGGUUGCUACACUUGACACUCUCUGACCCUGUAGUCGUCUGUGGCAGGAAAUGGAUGGUUGUCGAGAAUCCGUUUGGGGCGCCGACUCCAGGUCCCUAUAAUUUAUCAUUUUUAUAUAUUCCAUCUUAGACCUUUUUAUAACUUGCACUUGCUUAUCUUAAAUUGCCUUCUCAGACCCUCACAACUCACUUAAGCUCCCAUAUCCUCAGACCUUUAUACAUCUUAAAUUUCUUUCUUAAAGGGCCGAGAUGUGGAGAAGUUGCCCGCCCCUCUCUUCCCUUCCUCCAACAACAGAGUCCCAUUGAGCUUUGUCCUUACCCACCCCACCCAGAAGAGAAACCAAGUUCCCCACCUAAGGUAGUAUUUUAUGUUUUGCUCUUUACUCUGUGACUUGCUAUUGCUAUCUUCCCAGGAGGUCUAAGAGCUCGGUGGUGGUAGAUCAUGUCUCAUGCACUUCCUGGUCUGUAGACCCGGGAGGGGAAUGCUGCAUUCAACAUGCCAUGCAAAUGCAUUUAUUUGCGGAGCCGCUCAAGUCCCCCACCAAAGCCUUCAAGCACGCUUUUGGCUCACUACACUUUUGUUUUAAAUCCACCAAUUUCCAACUGGCCUGGAAGCCGGUGAGCCAGUCAGCGAGUAAAAUUCGUCUCUGCUUUCUGCUUCAAGUUCCCGCUCUGGCUUCCCUCAGUGAUGGAUUCUGUGGUGACAGUUUUAAUUUUAAACACACUUUCCUGGGAGAGAAAUCUGGGCGAAUAAAAGUUCAUGCCACGAAGUUAUAUCCCACAGAUUGGUGAGGGCGGUGAAGAGGUAGAAGGUGCUUCCAAGGUGGUGCCUUUAUAUUUCUAAUUUCAAAAUGAAAACCAAUCGCGAAGAAAAGCCCUCUGCUUUCCCAAGUGUAUCCAUUUCUCCUUAAAAAGGAGAGGAAAAUUCUAGAAGGUUGGAGAACCUGCAGAAACCCCUCUUAGUACAAAAGAGCAGAUGCAACCAAAUUUGAAUGGAGUGAACGUGAGGGGAAAAUACAGCAGAGACAUUUACAUCGACUGUCUGGGAUGCUUCAGAACAUCUUUUCCCGUGCAUCUUGGGAAGUGUUAAAUCAUUUUGGAGUUUGAGGUCUGGAAAGGGAUACUGUGUGGUGGGGUUGGGCAUGUGUGCACAAGGAUGCUUAUGACUAGUAAGAGAAUUCCUUUCCCAUCCUCACAGGACUGCGGAAUCCAGACACACCAAAGUGACACAAAUACAAUACCCAGACUUCACUGUGUGAUGUGUAGGAGAAACUUAAUAAAUGUAGCUCUGACCUCUCA
rnacentral:sRNA from 1 species